rnacentral:rRNA from 1 species
ACGCUCGACACCUACAGGCAGCAGUGGGGAAUAUUGCACAAUGGGGGGAACCCUGAUGCAGCGACGCCGCGUGAGUGAAGAAGUACUUCGGUAUGUAAAGCUCUAUCAGCAGGGAAGAAAAUGACGGUACCUGACUAAGAAGCCCCGGCUAACUACGUGCCAGAAGCCGCGGUAAUCUGAGCGGGCUGGCAAGGC